CGAACGGGUGAGUAAUACAUCGGAACGUGCCCGAUCGUGGGGGAUAACGAAGCGAAAGCUUUGCUAAUACCGCAUAAGAUCUACGGAUGAAAGCAGGGGACCGCAAGGCCUUGCGCGAACGGAGCGGCCGAUGGCAGAUUAGGUAGUUGGUGGGAUAAAAGCUUACCAAGCCGACGAUCUGUAGCUGGUCUGAGAGGACGACCAGCCACACUGGGACUGAGACACGGCCCAG
rnacentral:rRNA from 1 species